ACAGACCUUUCAACUCUCAUUCUGCCAGAGACAAAGUGAGGGGGAGAGAAACCGAGAGGGAAGUGAGAGCGAGUUCAGGAACACUAACAGAGAAACACUGACAAGUGGGCUUCAACCGUCACAGUACGAAAGUUACAAACCAGCACUAGUCUCACCGAGGAGCCCCACAAACAGUCUGCGCGCUGUCUGGAGGGCUGAAAUCCAUUUAAGGAGUUUAAGCAGUGCAGUAAAGAGUCCUCUGGGCGCCGUUAAAAGGGCCUCUGGCGCCUGAAUGUACAACACGUCAGUAACAUCAGGCUGCUGCUUACCCCUGAUAUACUGCAUUAUGGAUGUGCAUCAGUUUGCCUACUGUCCCUGCUGCAAGUGAGAAUGUGUUCUCAGUCAACUUACCUGACUGUAAGUGAUGCCCCCAUAGCCUGUCUGUCUGAUGGGCAUGCAUGACACAACUCUGCUGGCUGGACAGAAUGAACGGAGACACAAACACACCAGAGAUGUGGGAGAUAGUCGCUGUCCCUGGUGCUGAAAUCCCAGAGGAUCUUAAGUGUUUUUGGUCUAACUAAUAUUGCUAUGUUUGUUUCAAUAAAUAUUCAAAAAGAUUUAUAAUAAAA